AGCCAAGGCGGACGGGUGAGUAACGCGUAAAGAACUUGCCCUGCAGACAGGGAUAACAGACGGAAACGACUGACAACACCUGAUACAGUUGCCGGUACGCAUGUGCCUGGCAAUGAAAGGAGAUGCUGCGGGAGAGCUUUGCGUCCUAUUAGCUUGUUGGCGGGGUAACGGCCCACCAAGGCGAUGAUAGGUAGCCGGCCUGAGAGGGUGGACGGCCACAAGGGGACUGAGAUACGGCCCUUACUCCUACGGGAGGCAGCAGUGGGGAAUAUUGGACAAUGGGGGCAACCCUGAUCCAGCAAUUCUGUGUGCACGAUGAAGGUUUUCGGAUUGUAAAGUGCUUUCAGCAGGGAAGAAGGAAGUGACGGUACCUGCAGAAGAAGCGACGGCUAAAUACGUGCCAGCAGCCGCGGUAAUACGUAUGUCGCAAGCGUUAUCCGGAAUUAUUGGGCAUAAAGGGCAUCUAGGCGGCCAGACAAGUCUGGGGUGAAAACUUGCGGCUCAACCGCAAGCCUGCCCUGGAAACUGCCUGGCUAGAGUGCUGGAGAGGUGGACGGAACUGCACGAGUAGAGGUGAAAUUCGUAGAUAUGUGCAGGAAUGCCGAUGAUGAAGAUAGUUCACUGGACGGCAACUGA
rnacentral:rRNA from 1 species